UACGGAGACCAAGUCACGUAUCUCUCCGCCUCUUCCCCAUUUCUCUUCGUCUUCUUCCUUGAAACCUCAGCGUUUCAGUUCUGAUUAUCCCCUUCUUCACUUUUAGAUUCUUCCCAAUCAAUUUCGCAAUCAAUUUUUUUCUUAAUAGUUUCGUUUCAUCUUCCCCCUUUCCUCCUUCUUUAUAUAAUGUUUUUUUUCCGAUUACAAAUCAAAACCCUAUAUUUACUCGAAACUCGAUCGAUGGCGAUGAAACCACAUGGGAAGUUGAUUAUCUCCUCUGAUUACGACGACAAAGUCGUGUUCUUCAAAGAUCUCUCCUUGGGUCACCACGAAGCUCAGUUGCGGUUUCGGCUCAUCCAUUUCUGGGAGGCUUGGAACCCAGUUAAGAAGACGCUCAUCGGCAUGGAGAUGCUACUCAUCGACGAGAAGGGAUUAGUAAUAUGUUAGUUACUAAGAUGCCGAAAGUGAAUUCUUAAUCAUUCUCUUUUACAGUUACCGUCUAUUUCAAAGGCUAUGGCGGAAGUGACAGAAACCGUGGAUCAGAUGCGGAGGAAUAGGUGGUUGCCAGGGAGAAGCGACUACUAUAUGUGUGGUAAGCCAGGUUACAUGGUCAGAGACUGUUUGGAGGACACGGAGGCGGUGGUGGCUACGGUUGAUGGACAGGAGGAGGUGGUGGCCACGAGGUGGAGUCAGGUACAAAGGUGGUCAGUAUCAACAAAAAUUUGAAGGGUCCUCUAUACGAUAAGCAUUUGAAGCUACAAAGGUUCUUGCUGAUGAUUAUCAACGCAAUGGCACUGCUUUUUAUCUUUGGGUAAUUAGUUUUCUUCUUCUGCUCUUUAUCCGUACAUUCUCUUGAUAUCUAAGCAAGUCACCUACCUUGCUUUUUGUUCUCUGAUUCAGGCAGUUAUGUCACAACAUUAACACCAGCCCCACUACUCUCCCCACUCUCCGUCAAUUAAACAUGAUAAUUAUCAUGAAAGCUAACCUUUUGGAGCUGUAUAUACUAUAAAUAUGUUUCAUCUCUGCGAUGAAAAUUCCAAACAGCUAAAAAAAUCUAAAACUCCGCUAUUUAUAAGUGAUGGAUCGUUUGUGUCUAUUAGCUUUUGUUUGGAUAUUUACUUGAUUUUAGGUGAUGCAAGUGAUGGAUGAUACCCUUUACCAGGUUCUAGAGUUGCGUCAACAC